rnacentral:rRNA from 1 species
UCUACGGGUGGCAGCAGUGGGGAAUAUUGGACAAUGGGCGAAAGCCUGAUCCAGCCAUGCCGCGUGUGUGAAGAAGGCCUUCGGGUUGUAAAGCACUUUCAGUGGGGAAGAAAGCCUUGGGGCUAAUACCCUCGAGGAAGGACAUCACCCACAGAAGAAGCACCGGCUAACUCCGUGCCAGCAGCCGCGGUAAUACGGAGGGUGCCAGCGUUAAUCGGAAUUACUGGGCGUAAAGCGCGCGUAGGCGGUCUGAUAAGCCGGUUGUGAAAGCCCCGGGCUCAACCUGGGAACGGCAUCCGGAACUGUCAGGCUAGAGUGCAGGAGAGGAAGGUAGAAUUCCCAGUGUAGCGGUGAAAUGCGUAGAGAUCGGGAGGAAUACCAGUGGCGAAGGCGGCCUUCUGGACUGACACUGACGCUGAGGUGCGAAAGCGUGGGUAGCAAACAGGAUUAGAUACCCCGGUAGUC